GGCCGACUAGCUCAGUUGGUUAGAGCGUCGUGCUAAUAACUCGACUCCUGUGGUGGCUCGGCCUGAUCAUCCUGGGCCUGCCGCAGGGUUGGAACGCGAAGGUCGUGGGUUCGACCCCCCCGUUGGCCA
rnacentral:tRNA from 1 species